AAUGAACGCUGGCGGCGCGCCUAAUACAUGCAAGUCGAGCGAGAGGACGUAGCAAUACGUUUGUAAAGCGGCGAACGGGUGAGGAAUACAUGGGUAACCUACCCUAGAGUGGGGAAUAACUAGCCGAAAGGUUAGCUAAUACCGCGUACGCUCCUUGGACUUCGGUUCAGGGAGGAAAGCGAUGCCGAGGGUAUCGCGCUCUUGGAUGGGCUCAUGUCCUAUCAGCUGUUGGUGAGGUAACGGCUCACCAAGGCUUCGACGGGUAGCUGGUCUGAGAGGACGAUCAGCCACACUGGCACUGCGACACGGGCCAGACUCCUACGGGAGGCAGCAGUAAGGAAUAUUGCGCAAUGGGCGAAAGCCUGACGCAGCGACGCCGCGUGGGGGA
rnacentral:rRNA from 1 species